rnacentral:rRNA from 1 species
GAUGAACGCUGGCGGCGCGCUUAACACAUGCAAGUCGAACGGUGAAGCACAGCUUGCUCUGUGGAUCAGUGGCGAACGGGUGAGUAACACGUGAGCAACCUGCCCCUGACUCUGGCAUACGCGCUGGAAACGGCGUCUAAUACUGGAUAUGAGCUGCGACCGCAUGGUCAGCAGUUGGAAAGAUUUUUCGGUCUGGGAUGCGCUCACGGCCUAUCAGCUUGGUGGUGAGGUAAUGGUUCACCGAGGCGUCCACUGGUAGCCGGCCUGAGAGGGUGACCGGGCACACUGGGACUGAGACACUGCCCACACUCCUACGGGAGGCAGCAGUGGGGAAUAUAGCACAAUGGGCGAAAGCCUGAUGCCGCGACGCCGCGUGAGGGAUGACGGCCUUCGGGUUGUAAACCUCUUUUAGCAGGGAAGAAGCGAAAGUGACGGUACCUGCAGAAAAAGCGCCGGCUCACUACGUGCCAGCAGUCGCGGUAAUACGUACGGCGCAAGCGUCAUCCGGAAUUAUUGGGCGUAAAGAGCUCGUAGGCGGUUUGUCACGUCUGCUGUGAAAUCCCCGAGGCUCAACCUCGGGUCUGCAGUGGGUACGGGCAGACUAGAGUGCCCCACGGGAGAUUGGAAUUCCUGGUGUAGCGGUGGAAUGCGCAAAUAUCAGGAGGAACACCGAUGGCGAAGGCAGAUCUCUGGGCCGUUACUGACGCUGAGGAGCGAAAGGGUGGGGAGCAAACAGGCUUAGAUACCCUGGUAGUCCACCCCGUAAACGUUGGGAACUAGUUGUGGGGUCCAUUCCACGGAUUCCGUGACGCAGCUAACGCAUUAAGUUCCCCGCCUGGGGAGUACGGCCGCAAGGCUAAAACUCAAAGGAAUUGACGGGGACCCGCACAAGCGGCGGAGCAUGCGGAUUAAUUCGAUGCAACGCGAAGAACCUUACCAAGGCUUGACAUAUACGAGAACGGGCCAGAAAUGGGCGACUCUUUGGACACUCGUAAACAGGUGGUGCAUGGUCGUCGUCAGCUCGUGUCGUGAGAUGUUGGGUUAAGUCCCGCAACGAGCGCAACCCUCGCUCUAUGUUGCCAGCACGUAAUGGUGGGAACUCAUGGGAUACUGCCGGGGUCAACUCGGAGGAAGGUGGGGAUGACGUCAAAUCAUCAUGCCCCUUAUGUCUGGGGCUUCACGCAUGCUACAAUGGCCGGUACAAAGGGCUGCAAUACCGCGAGGUGGAGCGAAUCCCAAAAAGCCGGUCCCAGUUCGGAUUGAGGUCUGCAACUCGACCUCAUGAAGUCGGAGUCGCUAGUAAUCGCAGAUCAGCAACGAUGCGGCGAAUACGUUCCCGG